UACGUAGGGAGCAAGCGUUGUCCGGAUUUACUGGGUGUAAAGGGUGCGUAGGCGGCUUUGCAAGUCAGAAGUGAAAUCCAUGGGCUUAACCCAUGAACUGCUUUUGAAACUGUAAGGCUUGAGUGAAGUAGAGGUAGGCGGAAUUCCCGGUGUAGCGGUGAAAUGCGUAGAGAUCGGGAGGAACACCAGUGGCGAAGGCGGCCUACUGGGCUUUAACUGACGCUGAAGCACGAAAGCGUGGGUAGCAAACAGG
rnacentral:rRNA from 1 species